UAAGCGGAGGAAAAGAAACUAACAAGGAUUCCCCUAGUAACUGCGAGUGAAGCGGGAAAAGCUCAAAUUUAAAAUCUGGUGGUCUUUGGCCGUCCGAGUUGUAAUUUAGAGAAGCGUCUUCCGCGCUGGACCGUGCACAAGUCUCCUGGAAUGGAGCGUCAUAGAGGGUGAGAAUCCCGUCUUUGGCACGGACACACCAGGGCUUUUGUGAUGCGCUCUCGAAGAGUCGAGUUGUUUGGGAAUGCAGCUCAAAAUGGGUGGUGAACUCCAUCUAAAGCUAAAUAUUGGCGAGAGACAGAUAGCGAACAAGUACCGUGAGGGAAAGAUGAAAAGCACUUUGGAAAGAGAGUGAAACAGUACGUGAAAUUGUUGAAAGGGAAACGCUUGAAGUCAGUCGCGUCGACCGAGACUCAGCCUUGCCUUGGCUUGGUGUACUUCUCGGCUGACGGGUCAGCAUCAAUUUUGCCCCUUGGAUAAUGGUGAGGGAAAUGUGACACCUUUACGGUGUGUUAUAGUCUCUUGUCGCAUGCAAGGGUCGGGAUCGAGGAACUCAGCACGCGCCUUUGGGCGUCGGGGCUUUGCCCACGAUACGUGCUUAGGAUGUUGGCAUAAUGGCUUUAAACGACC
rnacentral:rRNA from 1 species